rnacentral:rRNA from 1 species
GCGUGAGUGAUGAAGGCCCUAGGGUUGUAAAGCUCUUUCACCGGUGAAGAUAAUGACGGUAGCCGGAGAAGAAGCCCCGGCUAACUUCGUGCCAGCAGCCGCGGUAAUACGAAGGGGGCUAGCGUUGUUCGGAAUUACUGGGCGUAAAGCGCACGUAGGCGGAUAUUUAAGUCAGGGGUGAAAUCCCGGGGCUCAACCCCGGAACUGCCCUUGAUACUGGAUAUCUUGAGUUCGAGAGAGGUGAGUGGAAUUCCGAGUGUAGAGGUGAAAUUCGU